rnacentral:tRNA from 1 species
GCCGGGGUGGCGGAAUGGUAGACGCAGUAGGCUUAAACCCUGCGGAAACAUUAAUGUUUCGUGUGAGUUCGAGUCUCACCCUCGGCA